rnacentral:lncRNA from 1 species
GCCUGCGGAAUCGCCGAGAGAGCCAGAAAUUGGAAUUCUGAAUUGUUUAAAUAGAGCAGAGGAGAGGUGCCCUGUUUAGGAAAAUUGUUGUCCAUGCGGUCCCACGGUGAAGCGCGGUCAUCUGGUGAAGUGAGCGGUCUGUCCACGUGCGGUCCAUUGCGUGAGUGUUGAGGAGCUCGGUCCACGGUGAAUUGGUCCAUGUUGCGCUGAACGGUGAGGUCCAUGUGAAGGAGAGUUGAGGCGGAGCCCAUAUGCGAUUGAUUGUGCGUGGACUGGUCCACUGGAGGGAAUUGUGAACUUGCGGCCAUGUGCUGGAGUGGUGAAAGUGCAGUGGCCCAUUUGAAAUGUUGGCCAUUUGCAUGUGAAUGUGGUCCACGUGCAGGAGUGCUUCG